AACAUACAUAGAAAAUACUGCCUGCCCAAUGACUAAUCCGCACUAGUUAAAUGGCCGCGUUAGCGUGAGCGUGCUAAGGUAGCGUAAUAAUUAGCCCCUUAAUUGGGGGCCAGUGAAAGGCAAGACGAGAAAAAACUUUCCCUUGUAUGUCAAAAUAACCUUACGUCCGAGUGAAAAGUCUCGGAUACUUGAGGAAGACAAAAAGACCCUGCGGAGCUUUACCUUAUUCUGCCAACGUUAUCACAUAACCAUUAAGCUAAAAGGUUUGGUUGGGGCAACCUUGGAACAACCAAAUCUUCCAAUCUACAUCCUUUAAAAAGCACAUAUAUAACUAGUUAUGGGCCACAAAGAAGCUACCCCAGGGAUAACAGCGUAAUCCAGCUUUAGAGUACACAUCGAAAGUUGGGUUUGCGACCUCGAUGUUGGCUUAAGGUAAUUCACAUAAGCGCAGCCGCUAUGAGAGAGUAGUCUGUUCGACUAUUAUACCCUU
rnacentral:rRNA from 1 species